CCUACGGGUGGCAGCAGUGGGGAAUAUUGCACAAUGGGGGAAACCCUGAUGCAGCAACGCCGCGUGAAGGAAGACGGUUUUCGGAUUGUAAACUUCUGUUCUUAGUGAAGAAUAAUGACGGUAGCUAAGUAGCAAGCCACGGCUAACUACGUGCCAGCAGCCGCGGUAAUACGUAGGUGGCAAGCGUUGUCCGGAAUUACUGGGUGGAAAGGGAGCGCAGGCGGGAAGCCAAGUCAGCUGUGAAAACUACGGGCUUAACUUGUAGACUGCAGUUGAAACUGGUUUUCUUGAGUGAAGUAGAGGUUGGCGGAAUUCCGAGUGUAGCGGUGAAAUGCGUAGAUAUUCGGAGGAACACCAGUGGCGAAGGCGGCCGACUGGACUUUAACUGACGGUGAGGCGCGAAAGUGUGGGGAGCAAACAGGAUUAGAUACCCGAGUAGUC
rnacentral:rRNA from 1 species